rnacentral:rRNA from 1 species
GGCGUGCUUAACACAUGCAAGUCGAACGGAAGUAGAAAUACUUUAGUGGCGGACGGGUGAGUAACGCGUGAGCAACCUGCCCUUAUCAGGGGGAUAACACAGAGAAAUUUGUGCUGAUACCGCAUAACGUUGCGAAUAGGCAUCUAAUUGCAACCAAAGAUUUAUCGGAUAAGGAUGGGCUCGCGUCCCAUUAGGCAGUUGGUGAGGUAACGGCCCACCAAGCCGACGAUGGGUAGCCGAUCUGAGAGGAUGAACGGCCACAUUGGAACUGAGACACGGCCCAGACUCCUACGGGAGGCAGCAGUGGGGAACAUUGCACAAUGGGCGCAAGCCUGAAUGCAGCAACGCCGCGUGAGGGAAGACGGUUUUCGGAUUGUAAACCUCUGUCCUUGGUGAAGAUAAUGACGGUAGCCGAGGAGGAAGCCACGGCUAACUACGUGCCAGCCGCCGC